rnacentral:tRNA from 1 species
GCGACGGUAGCUCAGCCGGUAGAGCAGGGGCCUCUUAAGCCCAAGGUCCUGGGUUCGACCCCCAGCCGUCGCACCA